CUGGAUGUCACUGGAACAGAUCGAUGAAGAGGAAAAAACAGACGUCCUGUGGACGAUUGUCAACACUCUUUCAGUCACUGAGCGGGACAGCUGUCUGGAGCGAGCGUUAGCACUGUCUAUGCGUUGCACGGCGUGUGUCCAGUGACUCCCCGUUUUCGCAUCGUCAGCGGUGUCAGCUUAAUUGCCAAGGCGGGAAGGGUGGAGCGUGUCCUUCAAGCCAGUGCGUAAUUUUCCGCGCAUUGCGUGGCAUUCAACUCCUAAGUUAAAGCUGCAUAGUUGUGGUGCGCCCACUCUCAAUCGGAGCGCUGAAGCCUCCACGUCCGCCAGUGGCUUACUUGCUGAAGCGGCCCUCCACGUUGCAGG